AUGGACCUACCUUUCCUCACUUCCCUCUCACAUUUGCUGUAUUGCAACUUCGUCUGGUCGGUAGGCAUAGGCCGACGGAUAAUCCCGGAUAAGCCGCAAGCAACACCAAUGGCGCCGCCGCUUUUGCUCCUCCUGCUGCUGCCGCUCCUCGCCGUGGCUGCCGAGGCCGUCCCUCCCACGCCGACGCCGCGGUCCAACCCCGCGGCAGCAGCAGGCGGCGGUGCUCCCCCGGUGCCGACGCCGACGCCGUGGCCGGAGCAGUUCCACGCGGUGAUGUUCACGAACCUGACCGAGAGCGGCGGCCGGCUGCAGCUCAUCGACCUCUACUACGACUGGCCCCGCGGCCGCAACCUGAACCUCAUCCGCAACCAGCUCUCCGGCGACCCGACCUACGACGUGGAGUGGACCAACGGCACCUCCUACAUCUUCGACUCCGCCUCCUGCCGCACCAUACGCUUCCCCGUCGGCGUCCUGCCCCCGUACUGGCUCCACGGCGCCGUCUACCUCGGCCGCGAGACCACCGAUGGCUUCGACUGCCACCUCUGGACCAAGGUCGAUUUCGUGUGGUACUACGAGGACGUCCUCACCCACCGCCCCGUCCGCUGGAACUUCUUCAAUGGGAUGCAGCAGCAUGUGAUGAGCUUCGAGGUGGGCGGGGUGCUAGAGGACUCCCACUGGCAGGCACCCUCGCACUGCUUCGCUGACGAUGCCGCCGCCACCGCCACCGGAGCCGAUGCGACGAGCAGCCUCCUCAGGCUCGCACGGACGACCGCAGCGGCUGUAACAUCUUCUGCGGCUUAA
rnacentral:rRNA from 1 species